rnacentral:rRNA from 1 species
AUACGUAGGGGGCAAGCGUUAUCCGGAUUUACUGGGUGUAAAGGGAGCGUAGGUGGUUCCAUAAGUCAGAUGUGAAAGCCCAGGGCUCAACCCUGGGACUGCAUUUGAAACUAUGGAACUAGAGUGCAGGAGAGGUAAGUGGAAUUCCUAGUGUAGCGGUGAAAUGCGUAGAUAUUAGGAGGAACACCAGUGGCGAAGGCGGCUUACUGGACUGUAACUGACACUGAGGCUCGAAAGCGUGGGGAGC